AGUGGAUGAGAUGUUCCUCUCAUCAUACUUUGCUUUUUUUUUGCUUUUCCAGUGGAACAAACUGAAGCACUGGAAAAACCAUCUGAAGAAUUGGAUUGAGAGAUGAACUGUGCCUCACAGUAACCACAGGAGUUGAGCUUACCAGAUCACUGAUUGCAUUGGUUAAAAAAAAAA